UCCCAGUGCCUUGACCAAUGUGAUUCAAGUUUUGUGGACGAGAUGCCUGAGACAGGUCCAGCAAUGCAGAUAUAUUAAAUUCGGAGUAAGGAAAGGAGAACAGAUAAACAAAUACAGUUGAUCCACAGGUUAACUAGUAAGCGUGCCUAUAAUGUGAGGGAGCUUAAGGUGGCAUCUUCUCUGCCGCCGACCGUUGGAUCCUGACCGUACGAUAAGUGGGUAUAUCUCGUAGUUGUCCAGGCUAGAAACUGGCCUCAGGAUCUCAAAUCCAACCAUAGGUGUUUCAGUUUUCACACAUUAAAAAAAAAGGGGACACAAAAUCAUGGGUUUAUCCCUUCCUUAAUUCUUUUGUUCGGUUCUAUGGCAUUGAUGGAGCAAACAGUGAAUCAUCAAUUAUGAUGGAUGUUUCGUACCUGUACUAUGC